GGAGGCGGCGGAGAGCGAGCAAGAACACCAGCUCCUCGUCGUCGAGGACACUGAUCUCGUGGGCCUUCCGAUCAUCCGAGUCCCCGAACGAUCCCGAAUGGCCGGGAUUGCCGUUUCGCCCCCUAAAGCUCUGACUUUUCCCUUUCUUUCGGUCUCUUUUUGCCAAAUUUCUGACCUUAUCUGGACGGCAUUGCUGUUCUUGAGCUGCUCCCUCCUUACGCCAUAAAGUUGUUUCUUUGGUACAUGACUGGGUUGACGCCGUCCGAAUCUGUUGUUUUCUAAUGCAAAGGUAGAUUUUUUUUUUUUAAAAAAAAAAAGGAGGAGGAAGUGAGGACUUCCUCCUUAUCUCCCGUGCCUUUCGAAGAGAGUGAAUCGAUCAGUUGGGGUUUCUUUUUUACAUUGGAAUCUAAAUGGGGGAUCCCGAGAAGAAGGAGGCAGGUUUCGCGCAAUUGCAGUCUUCUUGCUCUUUGGGUCUCUUUAAGAAGACAGCACCACCUGUUUCUGAACUUUGAGCAUGCUUGACAAGGAAUUCUUCACGGAAUAUGCUGAGCCAAUCCAAUAUCAGAUACAAGUAGUCAUUGGCAAGGGAAGCAAUGGGGUGGUUGGCGCUGCAGUGGACACUCAUCAAGCGAGAGGGUGGCAAUCAAAAAGAUUAAUGAUGCCUUUGGGCAUGUUUCUGAUGCCACUCGCAUCCUAAGAGAGAUCAAGCUGUUCUGACAUCCUGACAUCGUGGAAAUAAAGAAUAUAAUGCUUCCUCCUUGUCGGAGAGAACUCAAAGUUAGAUAUUGUUGUUUCUGGGAUGAUGGAGUCAGAUCUUCCCCAAGUAAUCAAGGCAAAGAUACAUUGGCACUAUGUUUACUGGAGCGCUUGCAUUUGAUCCUAAACAUUGGCCUACUGCUGAAGAGUUGAGAUUUGAGAACUCGAUUGCUUCAUGAAACUGCAAUUAAAUUGUGAGCAAACACUUAAGAAGCCAAUUGGUAUGUGGUUUCGAGCUGAUACUGGUGUUUGUUACUUUUUGGGCUUCAGCUGAUCCAUACUUCUGAGGCCUGGCUAAUGUAGACCAUGAACAUCAACACAACCCUUAUCAAAACUUGAAUUUGAGUUUGAGAGGAGGAAACUGACAAAAGAUGAUGUGAGAUAAUUGACUUAUUGAGAGGUACUUCACUGCAGCUUCAAAUUGCUUGAUGCAAUAUUGUCCGUCAUGUCUACUGCUCUUCUUGCUUCCUGAUGGAAUUUCUUUUAAAAGAAAACAGAGUUUAGGUUAUCAUCCUCAGAUGCUGCUGGUAUCUUCGAGGUGGAGAACAGACUAGCUUCAUUUACCCAAGGAAACUCAGAUACAAAGACUCUAAUGAUUGAAAUUAUAAGCUCCAAGCUCAGAUGCUCAGAUUAUAUGACACGAUCUGUAACGGCAGGGACUUUAAAACGGAACAACACAGAGAACAAGCCCUGUAAUGAAAUGCAACCUGAUCCGACAUAUGAUAAGUCACCUAACCUCAUAGUUUCUGAGACAUUCCAACAAAUUGGCUCAACAAGAUUUCUAGUUCUCUUUUGGCUGAUGCUAAUAUGGCACACUGCAUUCAAGAUUGAGAUUCCAGUGGAUUGCCAAGCUAUGGUUCCUACGAGCAGCUAAAAGAGACUAAUAAAUAAGAAAGGAAAAUCUCAAUGGAAGAAAACUCGAACCAACACCAGUAAGCUAUCUACUUCUCAUCUUGCUUGUCUAUCUUGUCCGUAUAUCAUGUAUUUGCAACUUAUGCUGUACAUAUCACAUAAUUGCACCUUGUUUUUGAUCUACCAGAAGCUACUUGAAAUGUUUGAGGGGAAACUGUUUAGUCUACUAGAGCAAUCUAUUAUUGUAAAAUUUCUUUUUUUAUGAUAACUAAACGAAUAAUUUGUUUCUGCCAAAUAAUUGGUAGAACUUUCCAAAUAGAAUGCAACUCUUACUA